AUAGAGAAUACUCUACAAAGCACUAAUAGCUAUCAUCGUCAUUGAAGCGGCGGCGCUAAGAGCGGCUAAUCUCGUCAAGACGUUCAAGAUUCGAGUUGCAGGGCUACAUAGGUGUGUAGGUGUUCUGUGGAGCUGCUACACGGAAGACGCUACCAAGCGCGAGAGCUGACUCGGCAAGCUGGUCCUUUUACUUUUUUUCCUUCCGAUACAGCGACGCUACACGACGCACGGUUACCGUUUGCCAUCGCCUGUCGUCGCCAUCCUGUUGAGCUCUAAAAACUGCCAAGCUGCCGAUUUUAAGCAUGGCUAACGUCGGCACAACUUUCAUGCGACAGUCUAGCUCGUUGGACGUCGUAGCGAAGAAGAUUAGGCAUGGACGAGAUGCUGCCUGUGCAGAUGCCAGGAAUGCUCCCCAUCUACUAUGUUGAACACACUCAUAAUUAAAAUGUUCACCCCACAUUGCUGGCUGAACUGGUUAAAUGACACAUUCACUUGCAAAGCACUAUUUCACUUGACUCUCUCAAGUAUCGGGCCUUAGAAAAGUGGUCUCUCUCUCAAGUAUCCAGCCAGCAGGCAUCUAUGGACAUUGGAAAUCCUGCCAUCAACAAUGGUAAUUCCAUCUACCAUGCAAAUUCUGGUGGCCUGGAUCCGACACGAGCUCACAGCCCAUUCACUGGAAAUUGCAGUUCCAUCACAGUCACACAAGAUGGAUGGCAGCUUCCAGCCUGGCGAGAUCGGAGAAAACAUCUUGGAAGGCUGUCUAAGCGUGGCUCUCGUCACCCAAAUGGCAGCUGCAAUCUUCCAAGCUGCUCUCAUUAUCUCACGAGUGGAAUACUUGUGAGCAGACCACCCCGUCACGUGUAGCUCUGCUAAGCAGUACUCUUUUUGAUUCGAUUUCACCUUGUGAGCAGACCACCCCGUCUCUUUUCUUGUUUUGCAUUUUUCUUGUGAGCAGACCACCCUGUCUGUCUUCUUAUUGUGAAUUUUUCUUGUGAGCUGACCACCCUGCACUGUAAUGGUCAGUGAAGUAAUUGUUUCUUCAUUUGUAGUUUACUAUGUGAUGCGAAAGAGCGUGCCUUUUAUAAAAGAAUCCUGUGAUAUAACUUUUGAGAAAUGCAGCUUUUGUAGCGAUAGUGUCUUUGAUGCUAUAAGUGCCUUGGUGUAGGCAGCUGUAGAGCUGCCGCAUCUCUAUAGCUCAGGACAUGCACUUAGUGUCUUUGUGGAAUUGACCCUCUACAUUUGUCAUAUACAUGACUUAAAGGAGAUAGAUUUGCCAAAAUUUUCAAUAUUUAUUGGUUUGUCUCAAGCUGCAUUUUGCAGCUUUAGGGCUCAUUCACACCGGUGACUCGCAGAGGUCACGUGACUGCAGUCGCAAAGCUUCUGAACUAAUCAUAUGUUCAGGAACUGUAUACGUCGACGCGCACUUUAUGUAGAGAUAGUGGUACAAGCAGACGUGAACAGCAUCAAUGAUGCAACAUUUUGAUGUUGCAGCAGACAUGUUGCACUUACCAGGUGACCUUCGCUCACAAUGAGUCGCUCUUUGGUAACCAGUCAUGCAACCUGUCAAUCGCCAAUGUGAUUGAGCCCUUAGAUUGUUGUGGAGUAUUACAGCAAAACAGCUCGGUGCACAUUGAACACGGCGGGCAAGCCACUGGUGCAGAAGAGCAUAACUAAGUUGAAAUGACAGCCAAAUGGAGCAAGACAUCAGCCAGGAUUGAUGCAUCCAUGUGACACGUCAUGCUGACCACGCUGUAAUCCUGGCCAAAAUGCGUUCUCUUUGUUUACAAAUUUCAGCACAUGUUAUGAAAGCUAAAGCGUUACCUUUUGCCUCAGUGGUUCAGAUAAGAAACCAUAAGUGUACACAUAUGAAAAGACAUUUUAUUGCACACAAUGUUUCAGUCAAAAUUGGGUGGUAACAUCCUCACACACAGCAUGUAUGUGCUUGUGAACAUAGCAAAUUAUUUCGAUGAAACUGUCUAGCUGUGAAUCUUGUUCAUCUGUUGGCUGACUUGGUAAAACCUUGAAAUUUUGAAAGCAUAAAGAAUAUCCCCAAACCAAUGAUAAUUUCUGGCUGUGGUUUUGUAGUGAUGAAAAUUUUUAUUGCCAGUUUGAAUUGUUUUGAAAGUGCACACAGCCCAUUGCUUGCAUUUAUACAUUGUCCUUUAGCCACAACAGUGAAAUGUUAAGAACAAGCACUGUUUCAUGGUUCUGUUGACCAAAAUAAAAAAUUAGUUUGUUAAAAACAAGCCAUUUGUGUCAGGCUUUUCCUCAGUGUCUCUUAAUAACUCUGCAUGAUAUUUUUGUAUGCAAAAUACCUUCUUGUUUACUAUAUAUAUAUACAUAUAUAUAUAUAUAUAUAUAUAUAUAUUAAACAGAAAGGUAUUUUGCAUUUUGGGUCCUCGGAGCUAAACUGCUCAGCAAUUUCCCGCUGCACCAUGCCAAAUCACCAGCAUAGGGCAAUAGCCCCUGGAACACUCUGUCUUAUGUUGUUCGCACUGCAUAGCCUACCCACUGUGCACACAACUUGCAUGUUCCAAGAAUGUAUCGCUGAGAAACCAUACAUAAACCAGUAGUAUACAAAAAUAUGUGCGUGCAUGCUGGUGAAAGAUUUUAAUAACUGGUGAGGUUAUGCAAGUGAAAGGCUUGGCAUGUUAUUGCAGGUUUAAUAUGUCAUGAGAGAUCCAAAAAAGAGAAAAUACAAUAUUGCAAACACAUUCACUCGCACAUUAACUCAAAUGUAGGCAACAGUGAGCAGCAGGAAACGAACAAAGUGGAUAGUGGAACAGAACUGCACACCUUAUUUGACAUUAUAGAAAGAAAGCAAUAGCAACAAAUUGCUUCGAAAUGUAGCUACCGUAUUUACUCUAUUACGACGCGUUGUUUUCAUGAUUUUCAUUGCUUGAACUUUGCCCUUGCAUUGCAUUCGAAUAACGGAAAAAAUGAUAAUUUUAAAGCAAAUAUUCUAAAUCUCGUGAUUUUUAUCAUUAUGUUGGCAACCUGUACGUCCCAAUCCAAUCCGUAAACAAGUUGACCGAAGUCAAAACUUGGUUUUUGUUGGAAUCGACGCCAUUUUCGCUGUGCUUGUGACUGGUGUUACGGUUACAGUGCUGCAGCACCCUUUGGGGCCUUUUGUGCUUGGACUCCGUUUAUUCGUGACGUUAUGGCAACGUAGUGCAUUCAGUAUGACGCUCGCUUUAAGAGGCGAGCAAUUUUGACGGCCGAGAGGGUAGGAAACUCAGCCGUGACUUGGCAGUUCGACAUCAAUGAUUCAACGAUUGCGUGGCAAGACCAAUGGAAGGCCCUCUUUAAAUCUGAGGCCGGUCGGAAGGGCUCUGUUGACCUCGUAGUGACAAAGAAAAAAGACAGUCUAGGUUAGACUUAGUAGUUGUUGACCAUAAUAAAAAACGGUAACAUAACCGGGAAUGAACAA